rnacentral:rRNA from 1 species
CCUACGGGAGGCAGCAGUGGGGAAUAUUGGACAAUGGGCGAAAGCCUGAUCCAGCAAUGCCGCGUGAGUGAUGAAGGCCUUCGGGUCGUAAAGCUCUUUUACCAGGGAUGAUAAUGACAGUACCUGGAGAAUAAGCUCCGGCUAACUCCGUGCCAGCAGCCGCGGUAAUACGGAGGGAGCUAGCGUUGUUCGGAAUUACUGGGCGUAAAGAGUACGUAGGCGGUUAUUCAAGUCAGAGGUGAAAGCCCGGGGCUCAACCCCGGAACUGCCUUUGAAACUAGAUAACUAGAGUCUUGGAGAGGUUAGUGGAAUUCCGAGUGUAGAGGUGAAAUUCGUAGAUAUUCGGAAGAACACCAGUGGCGAAGGCGACUAACUGGACAAGUACUGACGCUGAGGUACGAAAGCGUGGGGAGCAAACAGGAUUAGAUACCCUGGUAGUCCACGCCGUAAACGAUGAUAACUAGUUGUUCGGUNACUUGGUGACUGAGUGACGCANCUACGACAUUAGUUAUCGCCGUGGGUAGGUACGGUCGCAGAGUAACGUACGAAGAAGUAGACGGCGNGAAGAGUGCGAGACGACGACGAGGAGAGG